rnacentral:rRNA from 1 species
GAUGAACGCUGGCGGCGUGCUUAACACAUGCAAGUCGAACGGAAAGGCUCCUGCUUGCAGGGGUACUCGAGUGGCGAACGGGUGAGUAACACGUGGGUGAUCUGCCCUGCACUUCGGGAUAAGCCUGGGAAACUGGGUCUAAUACCGGAUAGGACCACAUUUUGGAUGGUGUGGUGGAAAGUUUUUCGGGGUGGGAUGAGCUCGCGGCCUAUCAGCUUGUUGGUGGGGUAAUGGCCUACCAAGGCGUCGACGGGUAGCCGGCCUGAGAGGGUGUACGGCCACAUUGGGACUGAGAUACGGCCCAGACUCCUACGGGAGGCAGCAGUGGGGAAUAUUGCACAAUGGGCGCAAGCCUGAUGCAGCGACGCCGCGUGGGGGAUGACGGCCUUCGGGUUGUAAACUCCUUUCGCUAGGGACGAAGCGUUUUUGUGACGGUACCUGGAGAAGAAGCACCGGCUAACUACGUG